rnacentral:rRNA from 1 species
UGGGGAAUUUUGGACAAUGGGCGCAAGCCUGAUCCAGCAAUGCCGCGUGCAGGAUGAAGGCCUUCGGGUUGUAAACUGCUUUUGUACGGAACGAAAAGGCUCUGGCUAAUACCUGGGGCACAUGACGGUACCGUAAGAAUAAGCACCGGCUAACUACGUGCCAGCAGCCGCGGUAAUACGUAGGGUGCGAGCGUUAAUCGGAAUUACUGGGCGUAAAGCGUGCGCAGGCGGUUUUGUAAGACAGAGGUGAAAUCCCCGGGCUCAACCUGGGAACUGCCUUUGUGACUGCAAGGCUGGAGUGCGGCAGAGGGGGAUGGAAUUCCGCGUGUAGCAGUGAAAUGCGUAGAUAUGCGGAGGAACACCGAUGGCGAAGGCAAUCCCCUGGGCCUGCACUGACGCUCAUGCACGAAAGCGUGGGGGAGCAAACAGGAUUAGAUACCCCUGGUAGUCCACGCCCUAAACGAUGUCAACUGGUUGUUGGGUCUUAAUUGACUCAGUAACGAAGCUAACGCGUGAAGUUGACCGCCUGGGGAGUACGGCCGCAAGGUUGAAACUCAAAUGAAUUGACGGGGUCAUA